AUUGAACGCUGGCGGCAUGCCUUACACAUGCAAGACGAACGGUAACAGGUCUUCGGACGCUGACGAGUGGCGAACGGGUGAGUAAUACAUCGGAACGUGCCCAGUCGUGGGGGAUAACUACUCGAAAGAGUAGCUAAUACCGCAUACGAUCUGAGGAUGAAAGCGGGGGACCUUCUGGCCUGGCGCGAUUGGUGCGGCCGAUGGCAGAUUAGGUAGUUGGUGGGAUAAAAGCUUACCAAGCCGACGAUCUGUAGCUGGUCUGAGAGGACGACCAGCCACACUGGGACUGAGACACGGCCCAGACUCCUACGGGAGGCAGCAGUGGGGAAUUUUGGACAAUGGGCGAAAGCCUGAUCCAGCAAUGCCGCGUGCAGGAUGAAGGCCUUCGGGUUGUAAACUGCUUUUGUACGGAACGAAAAAGCUCCUUCUAAUACAGGGGGCCCAUGACGGUACCGUAAGAAUAAGCACCGGCUAACUACGUGCCAGCAGCCGCGGUAA
rnacentral:rRNA from 1 species